rnacentral:rRNA from 1 species
UGGGGAAUUUUGGACAAUGGGCGAAAGCCUGAUCCAGCAAUGCCGCGUGUGUGAAGAAGGCCUUCGGGUUGUAAAGCACUUUUGUCCGGAAAGAAAUCCUUGGCUCUAAUACAGUCGGGGGAUGACGGUACCGGAAGAAUAAGCACCGGCUAACUACGUGCCAGCAGCCGCGGUAAUACGUAGGGUGCAAGCGUUAAUCGGAAUUACUGGGCGUAAAGCGUGCGCAGGCGGUUUGCUAAGACCGAUGUGAAAUCCCCGGGCUCAACCUGGGAACUGCAUUGGUGACUGCAAGGCUAGAGUAUGGCAGAGGGGGGUAGAAUUCCACGUGUAGCAGUGAAAUGCGUAGAGAUGUGGAGGAAUACCGAUGGCGAAGGCAGCCCCCUGGGCCAAUACUGACGCUCAUGCACGAAAGCGUGGGGAGCAAACAGGAUUAGAUACCCUGGUAGUCCACGCCCUAAACGAUGUCAACUAGUUGUUGGGGAUUCAUUUCCUUAGUAACGUAGCUAACGCGUGAAGUUGACCGCCUGGGGAGUACGGUCGCAAGAUUAAAACUCAAAUGAAUUGACGGGGUCAUAGCUGUUUCCU